AUAAUAGUCCAACACCAUACAUAAAAAGGAAAAUCUUUCGUUGUGCGUUGGACUUCUAAUCCAAAGGUCGUGGGUUCGAAUCCCACUUGGGAUG